ACCUUUUUCGGAAGGUAUGCUUAAAGAGGGGCUUGCGUCACAUUAGUUAGUUGGCAGGGUAAAGGCCUACCAAGACUAUGAUGUGUAGCUGGACUGAGAGGUUGAACAGCCACAUUGGGACUGAGACACGGCCCAAACUCCUACGGGAGGCAGCAGUAGGGAAUUUUCGGCAAUGGAGGAAACUCUGACCGAGCAACGCCGCGUGAACGAUGAAGUAUUUCGGUAUGUAAAGUUCUUUUAUUGAAGAAGAAAAAAUAGUGGAAAAACUAUCUUGACGAUAUUCAAUGAAUAAGCCCCGGCAAACUAUGUGCCAGCAGCCGCGGUAAUACAUAGGGGGCGAGCGUUAUCCGGAAUUAUUGGGCGUAAAGGGUGCGUAGGCGGUUUAAUAAGUCUAUAGUUUAAUUUCAGUGCUUAACACUGUCCUGCUAUAGAAACUAUUAGACUAGAGUGAGAUAGAGGCAAGUGGAAUUCCAUGUGUAGCGGUAAAAUGCGUAAAUAUAUGGAGGAACACCAGAGGCGUAGGCGGCUUGCUGGGUCUUUACUGACGCUGAGGCACGAAAGCGUGGGGAGCAAACAGGAUUAGAUACCCUGGUAGUCCACGCCGUAAACGAUGAGUACUAAGUGUCGGGAUUACUCGGUACUGAAGUUAACACAUUAAGUACUCCGCCUGAGUAGUACGUACGCAAGUAUGAAACUUAAAGGAAUUGACGGGACUCCGCACAAGCGGUGGAUCAUGUUGUUUAAUUUGAAGAUACACGAAAAACCUUACCAGGUCUUGACAUACUCUGCAAAGCUAUAGCAAUAUAGUGGAGGUUAUCAGAGAUACAGGUGGUGCAUGGUUGUCGUCAGCUCGUGUCGUGAGAUGUUAGGUUAAGUCCUAAAACGAGCGCAACCCUUGUCAUUAGUUGCCAGCAUGUCAUGAUGGGCACUUUAAUGAGACUGCCAAUGAAAAAUUGGAGGAAGGUGAGGAUCACGUCAAAUCAUCAUGCCCCUUAUGAUCUGGGCUACAAACGUGAUACAAUGGCUGUUACAAAGAGUAGCUGAAACGCAAGUUUAUAGCCAAUCUCAUAAAAGCAGUCUCAGUUCGGAUUGAAGUCUGCAACUCGACUUCAUGAAGUUGGAAUCGCUAGUAAUCGCGAAUCAGCAUUUCGCGUAAAACUAGUCU
rnacentral:rRNA from 2 species